rnacentral:sRNA from 1 species
GGCUAGCCCUGACAGGAGCGGCAUCCUUUUUCCUGUCCGCCGCGGCGGAGAGAAAAAGAUAUAGCGAAUGGCAGGAACGUCU